ensembl:lncRNA
UCUUUUGUAUUUCUUGAUCCACAUCACUACUUUUAUUGAUUUUAAACUAAAACUACUUAACGAGAAGGAAAAAAAACCCCAUUGUCCAGACCCUGGCAUCAUCUUGGUCAUUAGCUCCAGCUCUGGCUACUGAGCGUGGAUCCGAAUCUGCCAAAAAUAUAUAACCAGUUGUACUGCUUUUAAAAAAGUGGAUUCCUUGUUUUAGUGUGUAACUAUUUUAACUUUUUUUUUCUUUUUAAGGCUCAGCAGCAUUUAUUUAAAAAAACUGAUGUAAGUAAAAGUAACGUGAUGUGGUUGAGAAUUAACUGUGUGGAUGUUCUUGCUGUGAUAUUCAAUAUGGAGACAAAAUUAAAUACACAAUAAAAACUUGGCUCCUGUGAGAUGACAGGUACCACUGCUGGCUGUGCAGGGACCACGCUGCUCUUGGGGUCCUGCAGUGUCACCCACCACUGCCCCUGGGUGGGGAGGGCAGGGCAGCACAUUCGGGUGCAGCUACGAGAGAGAGGAGCCAACACACAGAGCUCGGCUGGAAAUAAAGGCUGGAAUCUGGGGCAUUUAAGCACAAACUGUAACAGUUUCAAAGGAAAAGCACUUUUGUUUGCAGACAGUGGAGUGGAACAGAGAUCCUGCCCUGGCUGGCAGCAGCUUUGAACCACUGCCCAAGCAGCAGCAGGAGCUGUAACAACUGCAGGGAGAGUGCAAGGCCUCUGCAGAACUGUUGCCAAAUGCUGUGUUUAAUUCAGGUUCCCAGAGCACCCCUGACGGGCUCUGGUUUGCACACACGGCCCUGCUUGGGGCAGGGGACAAGGAUGUGGGUGCAGAGUGGCACAGGAAUGAGACACGUGCUCAGAAACUCAAACAUCACCACAAGUGUGAUUCAAGGAUUUAUUAAUUCUUACAUGCAAAACAUUCUGCUAAUUGCAUUAGCAAAAGAUCAAUGUAAAAACUUCACAAUUUUGCAACUUUUAAAUUUUGGUUUAGUGAAGCUGCUUCACAUGAUUUUUACACCUAGUUAAUAAGACUAAAAGCUCAGAAAGCAUAACUUACUGGGUCAGAAAUAAUGGGAAAAUAAGGAUAUGCUUGAACGUUCUACUCUAUAAAAGAAAAAGAAAGCAAAUUUCUAUCAUCAGAAAGGUUUUUAAAAUACAAGUUAUAUUGCUCAGUAAGAAGAGAUUCUACAAGAAAAGCAUUUACUACAUAAAAGUGGGAAUGACUGGUCCAGAAUUGAACCUACAUGAAUGCCCUACUUGAAAUUCAAAGGAAUUUACCUAUGAACACCAACCUCUCUCCACUACUGCACCUCUGGGAAAAUGGUGGCUGAGCUACCCUGGCAGUGUAGUGUAAGUCAUCUGUACAGUGUCAAAUACUGUCUGGCACUAUUGUCUGAUCCAACCCAAUAUUCCAUUUACCCAUCACAACACAAUGCUGUCAAAAGGACUAGAUACACUUCAGUAAGAAUAGUUAUUUAUUUUUUUAAAUCACAGCAGCAAGAACUAGAUUGCAACCAAGCCCUUACCAAUGAUAAAGCAUUUACACUGUGACUCGGGGGUGUCAGUCACUGCCAGGGGUUGGGGUUCAACACCCACCACAGGCAGUGGCUGCACUGAGAAAACAUUGAAUAACAAAACACGUCAGAGCUCAGUGUUCUGCUCAUUCCCGGUACUUACUGUGAAAAACUAGAAAGAUUUCGCAUUU